rnacentral:rRNA from 1 species
UACGUAGGUGGCAAGCGUUGUCCGGAUUUACUGGGCGUAAAGAGCGCGCAGGCGGUCGUACAAGUCGCGUGUGAAAGCCCCCGGCUCAACUGGGGAGGGUCACGCGAUACUGUUCGACUCGAAGGCAGGAGAGGGAAGCAGAAUUCCCGGUGUAGUGGUGAAAUGCGUAGAUAUCGGGAGGAAUACCAGUGGCGAAGGCGGCUUCCUGGACCAUAACUGACGCUGAGGCGCGAAAGCUAGGGGAGCAAACGGG